GAAGUCGGCGUGGCGCGGCAGGGAGUAGACGUGAGUGAGUGAGUGAGAGAGAGAGAGAGAGAGAGAGAGAUACGGACUCUCUUUUCUCUCUCUGUCUUCUCGUUCGUCGUUUCGUCUGUUCUCCGAUUAAAAAGAAAGAAAGAGAGACAGAUAGAAAACUGGAAAGGAGAAAAAGAAAGAAUAUAUAUAUAUAUAUAUGUAUAAAUAAGAAGAGAGAGAGAGACAGAGAGAGUACGCAUGUAAAUUUCGUGACGUCAAAGAAAAGAGAGGAACUUCUUGUCAUUGACAUCGGUAUUCAGUUUUCUCUGUGCGUGAAUAAAGAGAUAAGAGAGAAGAGAGAAGAGAGAUCCGAGAAGAGUUUUGAGUGUUGAAAAGGAAAAGAGAAAGAGAAAGACAGAGAAAAAGAGAGCGAGAGAGAGAGAGAGAGAGAGAAGAAGGUGACGUGUGCAAGAAAGAAAGAGAAAGAGAGAAUGUGCAUUGAGACAACGAUACACGUUAGUGGAACGUAUACUCUGGAACCACUUUGAGAGUCAGAAAGAGAUAGAUAGAUAGAUCGAGAGAGACAGAGAGAGAGAGAGAGAGAGAGAACGAUUCUUUCGAUCACGCUCGAGAAAGAUGCGUUCGCGCGUACCAGUAUCGCGGAGGACGACGACGACGAAAGAGAGGAGGCGCCAUCGCGAAAUCGUCGUCGGUCGUCGCGCGUGAGUCAGUCGGCCCGUCGUGGAUCGUAACGGGCGGCCGCCACCACGUACAAGAUGGCUUCGGGCGACAAUGUGGACGCGAUCGAGGUUGUAGAAACGAGUUUCGCCGGACCGGCCCAACCUGCCGAGGAUUCGAGGAGGACCGAGCAAUCCGCCGAGGAGGACAAUAAAUCCACGGGGGAGAAAGUAGCGGCACUCGAUAACUCAAUAACGCAACAUGGCACGGCGGGACUCAAAACCCCUGCGGGGGUGUCGAGAAAUAAAUCGGAAAGGGAAAGGAAGAUUGGACAUCGUCGCGUUGGUGUGGGAGGUGAAAUCACGUACAAAAAGAUACAAACGACACAGAUUAUGGGAUCUAUACAGCUUGGUAUACAACAUGCGGUCGGUGGUCUAGCAAGUAAGCCAGAACGAGAUUUACUCAUGCAAGAUUUCAUGACCGUCGAGACAACGAAUUUUCCAAGCGAGGGAUCUAAUCACACUCCGGCUCAUCAUUUCUCCGAAUUUAAAUUUAAAAAUUACGCCCCAAUUGCAUUUCGAUAUUUUAGGGAUCUCUUUGGAAUUCAACCGGAUGACUUUUUGAUGUCGAUGUGUAGCGCACCUUUGCGUGAAUUAUCCAAUCCAGGUGCCAGUGGAAGUAUAUUCUAUUUAACGGAGGACGAUGAAUUUAUUAUUAAGACUGUACAGCAUAAAGAGGGAGAAUUUUUGCAAACUCUUCUUCCAGGAUAUUACAUGAAUUUAAAUCAGAAUCCAAGAACACUGUUACCAAAAUUUUUCGGCUUGUAUUGUUAUCGUUGUAACAGUAAAAAUGUUCGAUUAGUCGCUAUGAAUAAUCUACUUCCGUCGUCAGUAAAAUUGCAUCAAAAGUACGAUUUAAAAGGAUCGACGUAUAAGAGAAAGGCAUCAAAGAUGGAAAGAUCGAAGUCGUCACCAACGUACAAGGAUUUAGAUUUUAUGGAACACCAUCAGGAAGGAAUCUUUCUCGAAGCAGAUACAUACAAUGCACUUGUCAAAACUAUACAACGUGAUUGUCGCGUUUUAGAGAGUUUCAAGAUCAUGGAUUAUUCCCUUUUAGUUGGGAUACAUAAUCUUGAUCAAGCAGCAAGGGAAAAAGCUCAAGAACAAAGAAUAUCAGCCAGUGCCGACGACGAGAUUGGUGAUGUCGCAGGCGAGGGUGGUGCUUUUAUUCAAACGGACAGAGAACGCGAUAGAGAGGACAGAAUAGGUGCUACGGCAUUGAAUCGAUCGAGAAGCAUAAACAGGCAAAGGUUGGUCGCUCAUAGUACAGCUAUGGAAAGUAUUCAAGCUGAGAGCGAACCAAUCGACGAAGAGGACGAUGUUCCCAGUCCUGGUGGUAUACCUGCAAGAAAUGCUCGUGGUGAACGGCUAUUAUUAUUUCUUGGUAUCAUUGACAUUUUGCAGAGCUACAGACUUAAGAAGAAGCUCGAGCAUACGUGGAAAUCGAUGAUACACGAUGGUGAUACAGUAUCAGUACACCGACCAGGAUUUUAUGCUCAGCGUUUUCAAGACUUUAUGGCCAAGACAGUAUUCAAGAAGAUACCUUCACUGGACCUGCCUGAGAUUAAGGGGAACCAUCGCAAAUUCCGUAACCUCGUCACCAGCUACAUAGCACUGAAACAUUCCCCCUCGAAGAGAAAAAGUAUAACGAGGCCAUUGAGGCCAUUAGAGGGUGACUUCGAUUCGACCGCGGUGGCGGCAAUGGGAACCUCGACAAUGCAUGCUACGUCACCCACGAAGCCCGGGAGCCCAACGGAUAUCGCGGCCUCUACUACCACAAGCACGGCCAUUUCGAGUGGUUCGAUCCCGAUCGCUACAUCGACUCCUGUCAAUCUACCAACUGGUUCAGUGAGUCCACCGCCAUUGGCCUUGAGCAUCACCGGACAGGCCAUUCCUCAUCAAGAACAAAACGCUUUGGGUAUCGGUGUUAUUGGGAAAUCAUCAUCGUCAGGAGCGGCAACAUCAACGACGACAGGAGCAGGAGCAGGAGCAGGAGCUGGCGCAGGAACGACCACUUAUCCAGCCGUUUUAAAGGGCAGAAGUGCAGCUAGUCCUCCUAAUCCAAAUUUGGUGCCUUCCGGAAAGGUUCCACCACCUGUACCACCUAGAGGCUCUGGGUCUAGGUCUGCCAGAUCACCUGGACCACCUGCCACAACCUCCUCGUCUUCUAUAACUUCCAGCCGAGGUGGCACCCUUCCCUCUACCUGUUCCACCCCGCCCCCGCCUUUUGACGAUGCAGUCCGCUCAAACGACCAGACAUUGGCUUCCGGUGGUCACCUACAGCAAGCUGUUACUACAAGUAUACUUACCAGCAGUCUGAGCAGUGCCCAUUCCAAGCAAAACAAGGUCGUCCAUCAUGUUACUCUUACUAAAACCAGUCAGGAUGCUGUGAGUAUAUCGGACGUACACUUGGAGAGUAGUGGAAGUGGUAGUGGUGGUAGCGGUGGUAGGGAGACAAAAUCAUCUCUGAGCGUUGAAAGUGGUGGUAGCAGUCGUGGUGGUGGAGGUUUAACGUGGACACCACCAGCAGGUAGUGCCGAGGGAUCAACCCCAACGUGGACCGAAGGGACUCCAUCAUUCACCGAAAGUUCUAGCAGCGGUGACAUAGGAUGUCCAACUACGCCGAUCAGAGGGAGUCAACGUUCCGAAGAUGGUGGAAGAAUCGCAGCGACCGUUGAAGAGGCACUAGCCAGUCUCACCACCGAAAUGACCCACCUGUAGAAGAGCGUUCCAGAGAUAAUUUGCAUGAGAGGGAAAGAGAGAGUGAGUGAGUGAGUGAGUGAGUGAGUGAGUGAGUGAGUGAAAGAGAAAAAGAAAGAAAAAAAGAAUUGCAGGAAAGAACAUGAAAAAAGAAAAUAAUGAUACACCCGAAGAAAUCCAAAGCUGCAAUGCGGAAAAUAUUGAUAUUAAUGGGUUGGGGAGGUUGGGAGAGAAGGGUUUCGUUAACGAUCGAGUUAUAUAUAUAUAUAUGUAUCUUCCUUUAAUCUUCGUUUAACAGAUCAAGAGUAAUAAAUAAAGGAAAAAGUAGGAAUUUACUAAUUCGAGAUAUGAGAUACGAUAUUAACAUCGAUCGUAAAUCUCGGGAAGUUGGGGGGAGGGGGAUUGAAGCGGAGAUGAAGGAAGAGAAAGCGAAACGAACGAGAUCGGUUAUGAUCGUUCUCAGGAUGGUCAUUUAAUGAGAAAAAAAAUAACAUUAAUGAAAUAAAAUGAAAUAUAAUAAAAUGGGUGAAAAAUAAUUAAAACAAAAAAGAAAAAAAGAAAAAAAAUAAUAAUAAAAAUAAAUGUAAGAAAGAUUAAAAAAAGAAAAGAAAAGAAACAAAAGUAGGUUACGAUUCUUGUUCGAGAUGAUUGACAUGGUCAUUGACCUUGACCGAGUAUAAAAUUAGAAAAAAAAAGAAAUUAACAAUAAUAAUAAUAAUAAUAAUAAUAAUAAUAAUAAUAAUAAUAAUAAUAAUAAUAAUAACAAUAAUAAUAAUAAUAAUAAUAAUAAUAAUAAUAAUAGUAAAGAAUUCUCGGUAGGUCAAUGACCAAUUAUUAAUUUGCUAGAUCGGAUCGAUGAAUCUCGUGUUAUAUAAUUCUACGUAUUAUACUAUUCGCAUAGCAAAUAUCGUUAGAAUUUUUUUAUUUGUAUAAACCGUAAAAUGAUUCAGUGCAUUUGUCAAGAUAAAAGGUAAAAGAUUGAAAUAAAUAGGUGAGCUAGAGAGAGAGAGAGAGAGAGAGAGAGAGAAGUGUGUAAAAGAAAUGGAUCGACAUUUGUACAACAACAACAACAACAACAACAACAACAACAACCCACAACAAGAUAAAAAGAAGAAAAGCAAAAUGGCGUGAACUCUGGCUACGCUUGAUUUUAAGCGUUGCUCGAGAAGUUUGUCGCUUAUUACCGUGUACAUAUCAUAGGG